rnacentral:rRNA from 1 species
ACUCCUACGGGAGGCAGCAGUAGGGGAAUCUUCCACAAUGGACGGAAAGUCUGAUGGAGCAACGCCGCGUGAACGAUGAAGGCUUCGGUCGGUAAGUUACUGUUGUAAGGAAGAACGAAGUAGCCGCAGGCAAUGGCGGCACCUUGACGGUACCUUGCGAGAAAGCCACGGCUAACUACGUGCCAGCAGCCGCGGUAAUACGUAGGUGGCAAGCGUUGUCCGGAAUUAUUGGGCGUAAAGCGCGCGCAGGCGGCCGUCUUAAGUACUGAUGUGAAAGACCCCGGCCGUCAACCGGGGGAGGGCCGAUUGGAAACUUGGGAAGGCGUUGAGUAUAGGAGAGAAGAGU